GGGGGGUCAAAGGUCGACCUCAUUCAUCCCGCAUGGGUGUGACCUCGAGUGGCCGGCUUGUGAAAGGGUCACGGGGGGUCAGGGGUGUUCACAAUAGCGCCAGCUGAUAUAUCGACACAGGGGUGAGUUACACGGCCGGCUGAGCUCCUGGGUUCACGCUGGGUGCCUGUGCGGAUGGUAUUUAGCGUGAGAUAUGUUGCCCAUGUUAGCAGAAUCACCAGUAACACAUGCCGCUGCCUACCGCUGGAGGGUCAUUGCUGUAAAAUACGAGCCGCGGGAUGUUUGUGUUUUAGAAGGAAGUCAACCGUCGAGGAACGCUUAACCAUUCGGUAGAAGUAGUCAAGCUAUAGACAAACUGAGAUAUCACUUUGAAUAUGCUCGUAUUAAACAACAGCUAGUCAUUCACAAUGGAGUAUUAUGUGUUGUACUUGCGUUUAAUUUGGUGUUUUCGGACGUAUCAGGGGCCACGAGAUGGAUGAUAUAAUAGUAUAACUUGUGUUCUGUGAGUAGGCAAUAUCGAGUCAUGUUGUUGCAGUGCAUCCAUGCAGGAUGUGGGUCAAAACCACGAGCAGACCCUGGCCCAAUAACACGAGAACCUGCCCCCAAACACACAAGGAUAAAUGGGUUCUCAUGGAUCGAGCUAAAACAGAGCGAGAAUAGAAUCAGGAGAGGGAAGUGUUGUUCCGAGGUAAGAAAAAUGAAGUGUUAAUUCUAUGAAAUAGUUUAUUUUGAAAAUGAUUUAUGAAGUGUCUGUCAUGUCUUGCACACCUUCCUGCUUGUAAAAUAUGUACACAGUAAAUAGCUGCGCCACAUUCCCCUGGGAUGGUAGGCCUACCUAUAUUACAAAUGUAUUGCAUUUUUUGCACUCUUUUCCUAUGCAAAGCUAUGGUUUCCUUGAUAAAACAGGUUCAUGAAUUGUACGGCAUCACAAUGAAAAUGGUAGAGAAUGUUGAAUUUUUAAGAGUAGCAUAUGUGUUCAAUUUAAGAUUUUAUUUUCACUAUUUGUCAGAUAUCAGCAUUAAAAACACAUGUGAAUAUACCUCUAUUUAUGGGAAUAAAACAUUUAUUUUAAGGUUUUUCCUUUUAGGAUAUAUAUUUUUAGGAGAUGUAAAAUGGUCAAGAAGCUGCCUAAUAUUUAAUUUGGAUGAUACAAACUCUGUCUGUAAAUAUACCUUGCUAUGUAUUUGGCGCCUACUUGGAUGUGGUGCUAUUAUAAUCAAAAAAUGCUGUUUAAUCAAAGCUUUUAUACAAGGUUGUUUGAUUUCUGUUCGUUUUGAGACUAAUUAUUAAAAUUAUGUAACACUCA
ensembl:lncRNA